rnacentral:rRNA from 1 species
CCUACGGGAGGCAGCAGUGGGGAAUAUUGCACAAUGGGCGAAACCCUGAUGCAGCAAAGCCGCGUGAAGGACGACGGUUUUCGGAUUGGAAAAUUCUGUUCUUAGGGAAGAAUAAUGACGGUAGCUAAGGAGCAAGCAACUGCUAACUACGUGCAAGCAGCCGCGGUAAUACGUAGGUGGCAAGCGUUGUCCGGAAUUACUGGGUGUAAAGGGAGCGCAGGCGGGAAGCCAAGUCAGCUGUGAAAACUACGGGCUUAACUUGUAGACUGCAGUUGAAACUGGUGUUCUUGAGUGAAGUAGAGGUUGGCGGAAUGCCGGGUGUAGCGGUGAAAUGCGUAGAUAUUCGGAGGAACACCGGUGGCGAAGGCGGCCAACUGGGCUUUAACUGACGCUGAGGCUCGAAAGUGUGGGGAGCAAACAGGAUUAGAUACCCUGGUAGUC